ACUCAAAGGAAUAGACGGGGACCCGCACAAGCAGCGGAGCAUGUGGUUUAAUUCGAAGCUACGCGAAAAACCUUACCAAGACUUGACAUCGCCUGCAUAACCGCGAAAUCGGUGAAAGUAUAGCAAUAUAUCAGGUAGACAGAUGGUGCAUGGUUGUCGUCAGCUCGUGUCGUGAGAUGUUCGGUUAAGUCCGUCAACGAGCGCAACCCCUGUUUUCAGUUGCCAGCAUUAAGUUGGGCACUCUGGAGAGACUGCCGUGGUUAACACGGAGGAAGGUGGGGAUGAUGUCAAAUCAUCAUGCCUCUUACGUCUUGGGCUACACACGUGCUACAAUGGCCGCUACAAAGAGUCGCAAUAUGGUAACAUGGAGCCAAUCUCAAAAAAGCGGUCUCAAUUCGGAUUGAGGGCUGAAACCCGCCCUCAUGAAGUCGGAGUUGCUAGUAAUCCCAAAUCAGCAUGUUGGGGUGAAUGCGUUCCCGGGUCUUGCACACACCGCCCGU
rnacentral:rRNA from 1 species